GCGGGCGUGGCGGAAUUGGCAGACGCGCUAGGUUGAGGGCCUAGUGGCUACACAAAAGCCGUGGAGGUUCGAGUCCUCUCGCCCGCA
rnacentral:tRNA from 1 species